GAUGAACGCUGGCGGCGUGCCUAAUACAUGCAAGUAGAACGCUGAAGGAGGAGCUUGCUCUUCUGGAUGAGUUGCGAACGGGUGAGUAACGCGUAGGUAACCUGCCUGGUAGCGGGGGAUAACUAUUGGAAACGAUAGCUAAUACCGCAUGACAACAGUUAUUGCAUGAUAACUGUUUAAAAAGGGCAACUGCUCCACUACCAGAUGGACCUGCGUUGUAUUAGCUAGUUGGUGAGGUAACGGCUCACCAAGGCGACGAUACAUAGCCGACCUGAGAGGGUGAUCGGCCACACUGGGACUGAGACACGGCCCAGACUCCUACGGGAGGCAGCAGUAGGGAAUCUUCGGCAAUGGACGGAAGUCUGACCGAGCAACGCCGCGUGAGUGAAGAAGGUUUUCGGAUCGUAAAGCUCUGUUGUAAGAGAAGAACGAGUGUGAGAGUGGAAAGUUCACACUGUGACGGUAUCUUACCAGAAAGAGACGGCUAACUACGUG
rnacentral:rRNA from 1 species